rnacentral:rRNA from 1 species
GAAAGUAAGCAAGGGCAGACGGUGGAUGCCUUGGCUCUCGGAGGCGAUGAAGGACGUGAUAAGCUGCGAUAAGCUUGGGGUAGGUGCAAAUAACCUUUGAUCCCAAGAUUUCCGAAUGGGGCAACCCGGCUGGUGGAAGGCCAGUCAUUCCGUAAGGAAGGCGAACGUGGGGAACUGAAACAUCUAAGUACCCAUAGGAGAAGAAAACAAAAGUGAUUCCGCAAGUAGUGGCGAGCGAACGCGGAAUAGCCCAAACCGAUGAUGUUUAGGCAUUGUCGGGGUAGUAGGACCACGUUGUGGCAAGAGAUUAAGGAAGUAGAACGUUUUGGAACAAACGGCCGUAGACGGUGAAAGCCCGGUAUACGACUCUUUAACGAAGCCUAGUGGAAUCCUGAGUAGCGCGGAGCACGAGAAAUUCUGUGUGAAUCAGCGGGGCCCAUCCCGUAAGGCUAAAUACUCCCGAGAGACCGAUAGCGAACCAGUACUGUGAAGGAAAGGUGAAAAGCACCUCGAACAGAGGAGUGAAAUAGUCCCUGAAACCGUCUGCCUACAAGCGGUCGGAGCAACGUAAGUUGUGACGGCGUGCCUUUUGCAUAAUGAACCUACGAGUUACUUUCUCCGGCAAGGUUAAGGGCUUCAGGCCCGGAGCCGAAGCGAAAGCGAGUCUUAAUAGGGCGUGAUAGUCGGAGUGAGUAGACGCGAAACCAAGUGAUCUACCCUUGGUCAGGAUGAAGGUUGGGUAACACCAACUGGAGGUCCGAAUGGGUAUACGUUGAAAAGUGUUCCAAUGAACUGAGGGUAGGGGUGAAAGGCUAAUCAAACUUGGAGAUAGCUCGUACUCCCCGAAAUGCAUUUAGGUGCAGCCUUUAUUUAGUAUAGCAUGAGGUAGAGCGACUGAUUGGAUGCGAGGGCUUCACCGCCUAUCAAGUCCAGAUAAACUCCGAAUGCGUGCUAUAUAUUGAUAAGGAGUGAGGGCGCGGGUGCUAAGGUCCGCGUCCGAGAGGAGAAGAAUCCAGACCAUCAGCUAAGGUCCCCAAAUAACAGUUAAGUUGAACUAACGAAGUCGGACUGCAGAGACAGCUAGGAUGUUGGCUUGGAAGCAGCCAUUCAUUUAAAGAGUGCGUAACAGCUCACUAGUCGAGGAGUCCGGCGUGGAUAAUACUCGGGCAUAAACUGUUUACCGAAGCUAUGGAUGUAGAAAUACAUGGUAGGGGAGCAUUCCAACGGCGUUGAAGGUGAAGGAUGACCUUUGCUGGAGCUUUUGGAAACGCAAAUGUAGGUAUAAGUAACGAUAAAGGAGGUGAGAAACCUCCUCGCCGAAAGACUAAGGUUUCCUGAUCAACGUUAAUCGGAUCAGGGUAAGUCGGGACCUAAGGUUAAGCCGAACGGCGAUACCGAUGGAAGAAUGGUUUAAUAUUCCCAUACUACUUUAUGGAGCGAUGUGGAGACGGAGAAGUGAAAGUCCUGCCAUCUGACGGAAUAGGUGGUUGAAGAGUGUAGAUGUAGAUUCCUGUAGGCAAAUCCGCAGGGAGAGUCGACCUUGACAGUAUGCCGCGUGCUUGCACAAGGCAAAAUGGACGUAAUCAGGCUCCCAAGAAAAUCCGCUAAGCAUAUUCAUAAAGUACCCGUACCGUAAACGGACACACGUAGUUGGGUUGAAAAUACUGAGGCGCUCGAGUGAUUCACGGUUAAGGAACUAGGCAAAUUGACCCUGUAACUUCGGGAUAAAGGGUCCCUACUGAGAGGUAGGGCGCAGAGAAUAGGUCCAGGCAACUGUUUAACAAAAACACAUGGCUGUGCGAAAUAGAAAUAUGAAGUAUACAGCCUGACACCUGCCCGGUGCUGGAAGGUUAAGAGGAGAGCUCAUCGCAAGAGAAGGCUUGAAUUGAAGCCCCAGUAAACGGCGGCCGUAACUAUAACGGUCCUAAGGUAGCGAAAUUCCUUGUCGGGU